ensembl:lncRNA
GGGAAACAAACAAACCAAGCAGCCAGAUGUAUGUGCAAGAGAAUCCAGCUGAAGGAACACAGAAGUCAGGCUGUGUUGGCAAUUUGGAGGAAGGCCAGAUUACUCUGGAAAGACUUUCUGGAAAGAAGGACUGAAUGUUCAAAACAGAUUAGCACCCUGACAGACUGAGAAUGAGUUUGAAGAUCUCUGUGGCCAGAGACUAUAAGGAUUAUAUUAUCCCUUGCUUUUCUCUGUAAAGCAAGAGCCCAGAUGCGCUGAGUUCCAGGGGUGAGCUGGCCAGGCACAUGGCCCAGCCUCAACUCUAUUUUUACUUCACAGAAAGAGGUCACAUUAUCUAAAAUCUGUACCAUAGACAAAGGGAAGAGAGACACCAAGAGGUCAACAUACAUGUGAGGAUUGUGGGAGCAGAAAUUAACUCUAGAAGGCACUCAGACUGAUACUGGACCCCAAAACACUAGAGAUCAUUUGGAGGGGCUCUUUGUGAGAGUACAGAAGGUUUGUGUUACUCAAGAAAAAUUUAAUCCUGAGAAAAAGCCAUUAAAGUCAAUCUAUCACAACAGGUACUGUCAUAGCAAAUAAUUUAAAGUUUGUUUGCAACCUUAUCUUGAAAUCUGAUAGGAAAAUAAGAAGUCUGUUUUAAACUUAACAAAUUGAGUUAUAAUUGCAAAUGCACACUAAAUUCUUUUGUUUUCUUUUCUUCUUUUUUUUUUUUUUUUGCCACACCACACAGUUUGUGGGAUCUCAGUUCCCCCAGUAGAAGCCCAGAAUCCUAACCACUGUGCCACCAGGGAACUCCCUA